GUUCACUCUCUCCUCCUCUAGUCUAGUCACCCCGGUCUCUUUUCUUUCCUCUAGACUAGUCACGUUCACUCUCUCCUCCUCUAGACUAGUCACCCCCGGUCUCUUUUCUUUCCUCUAGUCUAGUCACGUUCACUCUCUCCUCCUCUAGUCUAGUCACGUUCACUCUCUCCUCCUCUAGACUAGUCACCCCCGGUCUCUUUUCUUUCCUCUAGUCUAGUCACGUUCACUCUCUCCUCCUCUAGUCUAGUCACCCCCGUCUCUUUUCUUUCCUCUAGUCUAGUCACGUUCACUCUCUCCUCCUCUAGACUAGUCACCCCCGGUCUCUUUUCUUUCCUCUAGUCUAGUCACCCCGGUCUCUUUUCUUUCCUCUAGUCUAGUCACGUUCACUCUCUCCUCCUCUAGACUAGUCACCCCCGGUCUCUUUUCUUUCCUCUAGUCUAGUCACGUUCACUCUCUCCUCCUCUAGAC
rnacentral:lncRNA from 1 species